UACGGAGGGUGCGAGCGUUGUCCGGAAUCAUUGGGCGUAAAGGGCGCGUAGGUGGCGGGACAAGCGUGCGGUGAAAGCCUGGGCUCAACCCCGGGUCGGCCGUGCGAACUGUUUGCUUGAGCACUGUAGAGGCAGGCGGAAUUCCGGGUGUAGCGGUGGAAUGCGUAGAGAUCCGGAAGAACACCGGUGGCGAAGGCGGCCUGCUGGGCAGUAGCUGACACUGAGGCGCGACAGCGUGGGAGCAACAGG
rnacentral:rRNA from 1 species